UAGGGAAUCUUCGGCAAUGGACGAAAGUCUGACCGAGCAACGCCGCGUGAGUGAAGAAGGUUUUCGGAUCGUAAAACUCUGUUGUUAGAGAAGAACAAGGACGUUAGUAACUGAACGUCCCCUGACGGUAUCUAACCAGAAAGCCACGGCUAACUACGUGCCAGCAGCCGCGGUAAUACGUAGGUGGCAAGCGUUGUCCGGAUUUAUUGGGCGUAAAGCGAGCGCAGGCGGUUUCUUAAGUCUGAUGUGAAAGCCCCCGGCUCAACCGGGAGGGUCAGUGGAAACUGGGAGACUUGAGUGCAGAAGAGGAGAGUGGAAUUCCAUGUGUAGCGGUGAAAGGCGUAGAUAUAUGGAGGAACACCAGUGGCGAAGGCGGCUCUCUGGUCUGUAACUGACGCUGAGGCUCGAAAGCGUGGGGAGCAAACAGG
rnacentral:rRNA from 1 species